AUGCUCAUUUCAGCAGCAUAUAUACUAAAAUUGGAAUGUUAUGGAGAAGAUUAGCAUGGCUCCUGAGCAAGGAUGUAAUAAAAGGUAAGGUGCUCAAUUUUUUA
rnacentral:snRNA from 1 species